UCCGAUGUGGUGUAGUGGCUAACAUUGCUGUCUUUCAUAUUCAUCCACUUUCGGGGUCCACAGCAGCCCGGGGUUCGAUUUCCCGCAUCGGAA